AUUUAGAGGAAGUAAAAGUCGUAACAAGGUUUCCGUAGGUGAACCUGCGGAAGGAUCAUUAAAAGUAAUAUGUAUUCUCUCGAAUAUACAUUAUAAACCCAUCUGUGUAUCUUACCCGUUGCUUCCGCGAGGCAGUGAUCUCGGUCACCUCCGAACGAUGGCGAAAGCUGUCCGACGGGGAGCACUCGCGGGAGGUAUACAUCAAACUCUUGCAUUUUUUAUGUCAUCUGUCUGAACUGUUUAUAACAAAUGUUAAAACUUUCAACAACGGAUCUCUUGGUUCUCGCAUCGAUGAAGAACGCAGCGAAAUGCGAUAAGUAGUGUGAAUUGCAGAAUUCAGUGAAUCAUCGAAUCUUUGAACGCACAUUGCGCCUCCUGGUAUUCCGGGAGGCAUGCCUGUUCGAGCGUCAUUAAAAACCACUCAAGCUCUUUUGCUUGGUAUUGGGAGAGGAGUGCACUCGCUGCCCUCCCUUCCGAAAUUCAAUGGCGGAAAGCCCCAUGUGCCCCGGCGUAGUAAGUUUUCUUUCGCUUGGAACGUGAGGUGAUCCUGCCGCAAACCCCCAAUUCUUUCUAGGUUGACCUCGGAUCAGGUAGGGAUACCCGCUGAACUUAAGCAUAUCAAUAAGCCGGAG
rnacentral:rRNA from 1 species